rnacentral:sRNA from 1 species
GCAGAAGGGAAACGUGAAGAAGGUGAAGAUGGCGGUGGCCAGGACCGGGGUCCUGGGAGUCCAGUGGCUGCAAAGGGCAUCCUGGAACAUGAUGCCGCUGGGCGCACGGACAGCCUCCCACAUGACCAAGGACAUGUUCCCGGGGCCCUAUCCUAGGACCCCAGAAGAACGGGCUGCCGCCGCCAAGAAGUAUAAUAUGCGUGUGGAAGACUACGAACCUUACCCGGAUGAUGGCAUGGGGUGAGACAGAGAGGGUAUGGCGACUACCCGAAGCUCCCUGACCGCUCACAGCAUGAGAGGGAUCCAUGGUAUAGCUGGGACCAGCCGGACCUGAGGUUGAACUGGGGUGAACCAGUAAGAGAACCACAUCUCAUUUGACCUUCCUUCUCCCUUUGUCUUCUUGGCGAUUCUUUAGCUCAGAUGGCACUUCUUUGACCAAGUAACACUAAGCUUUUCUGCUCAAGGAAGCAAGGUCCAGUGAUGUGAGAUCUGAGAUUGCAUGUGGCACACUGAAUGGGACGUCUGGGAAUCAUGAAACUCUACUGUGAAAGUUGUGCACUUCCAUGAUUGAGCUGUCCCUAUU